GUUAGGAAUAUUGGACAAUGGGCGCAAGCCUGAUCCAGCCAUGCCGCGUGAGUGAUGAAGGCCUUCGGGUUGUAAAGCUCUUUAGCCGAUGAUUAUAAUGACUGUAGUCGGAAAAUAAGCCCCGGCUAACUUCGUGCCAGCAGCCGCGGUAAUACGAAGGGGGCGAGCGUUAUUCGGAAUCACUGGGCGUAAAGCGUGCGUAGGCGGCUUUGCAAGUUGGGAGUGAAAGCCCAGGGCUCAACCCUGGAAUUGCUCUCAAAACUACAAGACUUGAAUUCGGGAGAGGAUAGCGGAAUUGUCAGUGUAGCAGUGAAAUGCGUAGAUAUUGACAGGAACACCAGUGGCGUAAGCGGCUAUCUGGACCGACAUUGACGCUGAGGCACGAAAGCGUGGGGAUCAAACAGGAUUAGAUACCCUAGUAGUCC
rnacentral:rRNA from 1 species